rnacentral:lncRNA from 1 species
UUUUUUUUUUUUUUUUCCCCCUGCAUAAGAUGUAAGCAAGUCUACAGGAAUCAGGGCUGUUUUGGCAGCAGAUUGUCAAGAGGAAGGGGAAGUUUGGUGGGUGCCAGAAAGUGCACUAAUUACACCCUGAAAAACCUCUCCCAGGUCUUGUGGCCACACACCCCUGCCCAUGGGCAGCCCGUGGGUAUCCCAGGACCGCCAGAGGCCUCGGAGCAGCCUGUUCUCACCCUGACAGCUUGAUUCCCACCACCACCUCAGAGGGUCACAGCUUUGUCCCUCAGGAGACUCACACAGGCAGCUGCAGGUCCGAGAAGCGGGGCCAGAGCUCACUGCCUCUCCCCAUUCAGUCUGCUCUGGCCCGGCCCCACGGCUGCUCCUGCUCCCUUCCCCCACCCCCAAUUCAAGACGACACCAGGAAAGGAUGAAAGGACAGGGCAGUCAGCCGACCGACCUCACUCUCAAAAGUGAGUUGGUCUCCCAGCCGUGGUUUCCAAGGCCUGUGGGGAUUGGAUGGAGCAGAGACCUGGACACACAGAGCUCCCUCCCCUCUGUCUGUGGAACUGGGGCCUGGCCUCUUGGGUUUCCCACAUGCAAAAUGGAACAUGGAGCAGGGAAGAAGGGCACACUUGAUGAUCCCUGCAGUCCUGCUUUUUUAAGUUUCAGACACCUAGGUACUGAAAGACACCCCUGGAUCCUGGCACCCAGAGGGCACUUAAAUCAAGGGAGUACCACCUCUCCCAAGGCCUGCCAUCUGUAGCUGGAGGGCAAGGCUGGGCAGGGCUUCCCUUCACCAGUCAGCCUCUAACUCUGCAACAGCCAGCCUGCGCCCCUUGGCUCUUCUCCCUCCAAUUUUGCACUUGCUGUCCACCCCCCGGGGAUGUCCAGUGGGUCCAAAGCCCUCCAGAACCUGGCUCUUGACCUGGCUCUAAAAUUCUAGUGCUGUGGCCUUGAACCCAUCCCUUCCUCUUGCUCAGACCUGGGCUCCAAGGGAUGGUGUGAAAAGCAUGGGUUCGGGUGCUCCUAAGGCCCCAGCCCCCUUCAGCAGCCUCUGAGACCUCUUGGCCUUGGCCUGUGCUAUAGGCUGUGAUGGGGACCACCCCGUGGCUCCCUGGCCCUUGCCUGUAGCAGCUCUGAAGUCCCUCUCUAAUUUCUUUACACAGUGAUGCCCCUCAUCUGUUCACAAGCCUGGCUAUCCCCAAAGGCAAAGAUUCUGCAACCCUCCCUUGUCCUAAGAACCAGAAUGUUUCUGCUGCUCCCUAUGCCCAUGACCAUCUGGCAUGCGGAUAAUCACAGGCAGGAAGGUGCUCCACCUGACAGAUGAGGGUAUGGAUGCCCUCACACCUCGAAGGAUUUAGGUCAGGGUCUCCGAGUUCCCAUGGACUAAGUUGGAGGGUGUUGUCACCCAGGAUUUAGCUGCUCUGGGCAGUGGGUGAGGGCAGCCCCGCUAGCGUGUGGCUCUGGGCCAUCUAGGCCCAAAUCACCAGCCUGGGGGAAGAGACCACCCCUCCUUCCUCCCUGCGUCAGCGACCCCAGCAGCUAGCAGGAAGCGUGGGAUCCUCAUGCCACAUGUGGGGAACAAAGCAUCGGAUUCCUGUCCAUUGCUGGAACUUCUCCAAGGUUCUGGCUUGGCUAUUGGAGAAAGUUAGACGGGAAGACACUAAAGUUUCUUCUGAUUCUACUUGGAUCAGAUACUUGACUGGAUCCUUUCCCUUUCUCAGUCUCUUAUACCUGGCAGGAACACUAUUUGGAUGGGCAUUAUUGGUCCUAGAGUAUAGAACUAGAAACUGAGGCUCAGAGAGGCUGAGUAACUUGCCCAAGGUAACACAGUCAGCGCAUGACUGACAGAAGAUUCACACCCCGAUCUAUCAGCCUCUUGUAUUUCAGGCCCCACUCAGCCUUCAAAGCUCAGCUUCCUUGACAAGAAGGGGAGCUGGAGGAAAACACUAGGUGUGGACCAUUCUCCUUGGCACUGAGGCCCUGCAACGUCAUACUUCCAAGCCCCUUGGUCCUGGCAAGAUGAGGCACCAGCUUCUCUGGGCUGCAUGAAGUUUUGGGCCCUGGGGUUGGUGGUUCUGCUGAGAGAUCUGGGACACAGAGGUAAAGAUUUCCAGGGCUGACUCAGCUUGACAAGCUGUGUUCCCCCCGGACAAAAAGAGGGCACAGUGGGAGGGGUUAGGCAGGAGUCAGGGCAGGUGGGCAGAAGCAUCCCAGGGCAGCCUACAGGCAGAAGAGACAGGUGCAAGAAGACAGAAGGGACAGCAGACAGAGGCGGGAGCAGCACUGCAGGGAAGGGCAGUGUCCUAGGAGGUCUGGCAGAAGCAAAUGCUGAGUCCUGCUGCCCCCGGCAUGAGACAGCUCUGGAGGAGGAACCCUCUGGCCUUAGUCCCUAGCUCUGUGGGGGUUCUUUCAUCAGCUGAACAACUGCUUUCUUAUCCCCAAAAGCCACACCCGUACACCCUCCAUACACACGCACAGACACGUGCAUGCACACACACGCACACACACAUACACCCCACACUCCUCUCUUUGGGACAAGAAACCAUUCAUUUCACAAAUGACUCCACCCCUCCUCCAAGGAGAUCUGCACUUCUUCUAUCCCUAGGAUCUAUCUGGGGCUCCAGCCUCUGGGGCCAAACACACACACGCACAUGCACCACACACACCCGAUACACACAAGCAGAGGUGGAUGUAGGCUAGGCUCAGGGACAGAAGGAAAGAGCCAGUUGUAAAGGUCGGAGGUGGCUUCUGGGAAAGCAAAGCCACUCCUGGACCAAGGGUUUCCCCAGUUGUAGUCAGACUCCAGCUCGGCUUCUGUUUUCAAGGUCCAAGGCUGACCUGUGGGCCAAGGAGGUAGCAGGGUCGACGGUGACAGAGGUGGCAGCCUACCACUCAAGAUCCCCAAGGGCACCAUGGCCUCCUGGAGGCCCACUCAUCAGGGCAUACAAAACAUGAUUCCCUGGACACAGCAGAGCUCUAUGAGAGAUUCUAACUUAUUUAUUUAUGUAUUUUUUAGCCUUGCGCCCCACCCCCGCCCCCGGCCACAUGCAGAAAUUCCCAGGCUAGGGAUCAGACCCAAGCCACAGCAGAGACCCAAGCCACAGCAGUAACCUGAGCCACAGUAGGGACAAUGCCAAGUCCUGAACUGCUAGGUCACCAGGGAACUCCAUGAAAUUGUAAUUUAAAGAAGCAGGUUAUGUUCUUCUCGGGUGGAGAGAGAGAAAUGGGAAGGUCGGGGGGUGGAGGAGAACAGUGGCAGCAAGGACAGCAGAACACUCCCAGGGGAGACUGUCCCUCCCCAGUUCCUCCUGCUCCCGCCUAGCUCACCACUCACCUGGUAGGUGCUCAUGUUUCACAGCCAUGUGCCCACCGCCCUGCUAGAGCAUAAGCACUGGGACAAAGCUGCCUCUCACUUCUAGACAUAUUCAUAGAAUGAAAGCAGAAAGCAUGAAUUGGAGAACCUGAGGACUAGAAGGACCCUGAUAUUUAGCCAGUCUGGGGUACCACUGAGGCUCGCAGCCUCUAUAGCAGGGGGCCUUGAUCUGGGAUCCGGUGUUGGCAUGAGGACACCAUGAUCCUUUUGAAAUCACGUGCAAGUUCAAGUUCUGCACAUGCAUGUACGCAUGUGCUCUAUGCAUUGCGGGAGGAGAGGAACUCGAGCUGCCUUCAGAUUCUCAAAGAAGGCCAUAACCAAAGAAGGUCAAGAACUGUUAGGACACCUAAGCUCCUUCUGGGACAUCUCUAGGAACAGGGUUUUCACUCCUCCUGCCAGUUCUUUAAAAGUUAUCAAGCAAUCCAUAAACACUUCUGUGAGGUAAAACAAGAGGCUAGGAGACUGAUGCAAGAAGUGUUCACAUAGUUACAAGUCUGGGGAUGGAAAAGGAGGAGAGGAUUCAAUUCAUCCAUCCACCCAUCCAUCCAUUUAUCCAUCCACUAAAUGUUAACUGAGCACCUAGUCUCUCCCAGGCACGGACCAAGCCUCAGAUGCUGGGAUUACAAACUGGAAAAAGACAGGAUUCCUAUUCUCAGAGUGUUAAGAACAUAGUUAACAAGACACACAUGGUACAUAUUUCACAGUGACAGCAGUUAAGAUAUGCUUUACUGGAAGCAUGUACCACUCAUCUGUCAUGGGACAGACACCGGAGAGAGAUGUGCUCCCCAUGGCAGCCAGAUAAAGCCUUCAGAGAAGAGACAUCCAGAGGUGCCAUAAAGAAGUAAGUUGGAAUCUGCCAGGUGCACAAGGGCAGUCAACAGUUUUAGAAGCAGUAGAAGCAACAGCAAGGGCAAAAGCUUAGAGGAAUGGGACUGCUUGGUGUUUCCCAAAACCUCAAGUGGACCAAUAUGGCCAGAGAAGGACAGAAUAAAGAUUAUACAUCACCACCACACACACACACACACACACACACACACACACACACACACACACACACACGACAGAUUAAGCAUCCUGAGAAGUGGGCUGGAGCCCUAGUUCUGCCACUGAUUCCCUGACUCCCUCUUCCUCCUUUUGAAGAGCCUUGGUUUCCCCACCUGGACAAUGCAGAUGCUGCACACAGUAUAUGCUAUGAGACAGAGGAGCUAGGAAAUGCUCAGUGUCCAUGUCCUCUGCCUCUCCCAAGCCAGGCCACCCUUAGGAUUCAUGUCCCAUGGAGCCCCAUGCUGGAGAGAGGACAUGACAGGAAACCUGGGACCCAUAACCAAUGCCUACUACUCCUCAGAAGGUUUGGGAUCUGAGACAAAACAUCAGAGGCACUGAGACUUGACAAAACACUGUGGUUACUGCUUGCCCUGCACUGGGGCCCAGAGAAUGAUC